GGAGGAAAGCAGGGGAUCGUAAGACCUUGCGCUUUUGGAGUGGCCGAUGCCUGAUUAGCUAGUUGGUGGGGUAAGGGCCUACCAAGGCAACGAUCAGUAGUUGGUCUGAGAGGACGACCAGCCACACUGGGACUGAGACACGGCCCAGACUCCUACGGGAGGCAGCAGUGGGGAAUUUUGGACAAUGGGCGAAAGCCUGAUCCAGCAAUGCCGCGUGAGUGAAGAAGGCCUUCGGGUUGUAAAGCUCUUUCAGUCGAGAAGAAAAGGUUGUGACUAAUAAUCACAACUUAUGACGGUACCGACAGAAGAAGCACCGGCUAACUACGUGCCAGCAGCCGCGGUAAUACGUAGGGUGCGAGCGUUAAUCGGAAUUACUGGGCGUAAAGGGUGCGCAGGCGGCUUUGUAAGUCAGAUGUGAAAUCCCCGGGCUUAACCUGG
rnacentral:rRNA from 1 species